rnacentral:rRNA from 1 species
ACUCAAUAGAUACCCAGGUAGUCCACGCCCUAAACGAUGUCUACUAGUUGUUGGUGGAGUAAAAUCCAUGAGUAAACGCAGCUAACGCGUGAAGUAGACCGCCUGGGGAGUACGGUCGCAAGAUUAAAACUCAAAUGAAUUGACGGGGGCCCGCACAAGCGGUGGAUUAUGUGGAUUAAUUCGAUGCAACGCGAAAACCUUACCUGGCCUUGACAUGUAACGAACCUUCCAGAGAUGGAUUGGUGCUCGAAAGAGAACGUUAACACAGGUGCUGCAUGGCUGUCGUCAGCUCGUGUCGUGAGAUGUUGGGUUAAGUCCCGCAACGAGCGCAACCCUUGCCAUUAAUUGCCAUCAUUUAGUUGGGCACUUUAAUGGGACUGCCGGUGACAAACCGGAGGAAGUGGGGAUGACGUCAAGUCCUCAUGGCCCUUAUGGCCAGGGCUUCACACGUAAUACAAUGGUCGGUACAGAGAGUUGCCAACCCGCAGGGGAGCCAAUCUCAGAAAGCCGAUCGUAGUCCGGAUUGUAGUCUGC